AUUGAACGCUGGCGGCAGGCCUAACACAUGCAAGUCGAACGAGUGGCGGUCGGGUGAGUAAUGUAUGGGAAACUGCCGGCGGGAGGGGAAUAACUACUGGAAACGGUCGCUAAUACCGCAUACAAUCAGAUGUGCCCAGAUGGGAUUAGCUAGUUGGUGGGGUAAAGGUUCACCAAGACGACGAUCCCUGGCUGGUCUGAGAUGAUGACCAGUCAGACUGGAACUAUGACCAGGUCCAGACUCCGACGGGAGGCAUGAGUGGGUAAUAUUGAACAAUGGGCGAAAGCCGGAUUCAGCGAUGCCGCGUGUAUGAAGAAGGCCGUCGGGUUGUAAAGUACUUUUAGCGUGGAGGCGUUACCCGCAGAAUAAGCACCGGCUAACUUCGUGACAGCAGCCGUGGUAAUAC
rnacentral:rRNA from 1 species